rnacentral:lncRNA from 1 species
GGAGUGAGCCAAGUUCACACCACUGCACCCCAGCCUGGGAGACAUAGUAAGACUCUGUCUCAAUAAAAAAAAAAGAAAGAAAGAAAGAAAGAAGAAAAAGGAAGAAGAAAAGUGGUUUGAUUCUUGCGAAGCAUUCACCCAAAUUUGUAAAGCUAAGGGUCUAAUGAACCUGCCAAUGACUUUGUGGAGAAUUUAUGAGCUUUUUACAGAGAUUGAUAGGAUUAAAUGAGAUAAUGUUUGUAGAGUGCUGGGCACAGAGUCUGGCACACAAGGAAGCACUAAAUUUUAAAAAGCAAUUGUAACGCUGAUAAUACUGCUUGUUAUAACAAGUCUCCAGAAUUUAUUGAAAUCAAAGAGUGGGAGAAGUGGAAGAUCAUGUCAACCAUUGCUCAUAUAGCUCUUCUACAGUGCUCCAGUAUGUGAUAUAUGAUGUACUCGGGAACUUCUUGGAUUCCUAUGGAAACAUCUCCCUUUUUUAUAGUCAGAUUUACUCUGGAGAGACAUUCUACAACACUUCUCAAACUGCAUUGGCUUGCACUCCUCUGGCAUUAACUAUAUGCCAGUAAGAAUAGUCUGGGUUUUAUUGACAGAAGGAUAAAAUUCUGGGGUCUUAUCAUUUGAGUCCCCAAACAGUCAACUCUGGCCUUGGCUAACAACUUUCCUCCAGACUUAGGAAUACAUCCUGGGUUUCCCAGGAUAUCGUCAUCAGUUUGUAACUCAUUUCAUUGCCCUGACUCUGUUCUUGACCAACCUGCUGUGUAAGAACCAUGGCUUCUAGUGGUUGUUCAAGACUUGGCAGGUGAACUGAACUCUAAAAUGAUGUUUUACAGUAGGACAAAUCUUACUCUGGCUGGAUCUGAAUGCAGCAGCUUCACCUGGGAGGUAGAUUGCAUGUGGAGGAGGAGAGGCAGGAGUAUGCCAGCUCAGUCUGAAACUGGCUUAAGUCCCAAAUCACCAAUAACUUUUCCGAAAGUGAACCCCAUUUCAAUGACCAACCUCAAGCUGACCUUCAGGACUUGGCAUCACAGUCAAAGGGCCAGACCCCCACCAGGAAUGGGAAUGUCUUCAGGUGCACUUGGCCUGCAAACUCAGCCCGGUGGAGAUGGUGGUGGUGAGAUGCAGGGAGAUGGAGAGAAAAAUGGGAGCAGCACCUUUCUUUACAAAGCCAAAAGCUACAUCCCCAUUGACCUAGAUGUCAUAAGAGUUUUUUUUUCCCCAAAGGGCACCAUGAUGGAGAAUCGGCUUUCCCAAGGACACACAUACCUUUGUCACACCAAGCACCACCUUGUCCUCAGACUGUUCUUGUACUGGCUUUGUUUACAAGCCAGAUCUUUUUUUAAAUGAGAAAAAUCAAAUGUUCACUUAAGAAGUGAAAUUUGAAUAAAAUUACAGUUUCAGGCAAAGCCUAUAUUAUUUUUAAAAUCAGCGAAUAAAGCAAGGGAUAUUA